rnacentral:rRNA from 1 species
GCGCAAGCCUGAUGCAGCAACGCCGCGUGAGGGAUGACGGCCUCGGUUGUAACUCUUUAGUAGGAGAAGACCGCAAGGUGACGGUACCUGCAGAAAAAGACACCGGCUAACUACGUGCCAGCAGCCGCGGUAAUACGUAGGGUGCAAGCGUUGUCCGGAAUUAUUGGGCGUAAAGAGCUCGUAGGCGGCUUGUCGCGUCUGCUGUGAAAACCCGGGGCUCAACCCCGGGCCUGCAGUGGGUACGGGCAGGCUAGAGUGCGGUAGGGGAGAUUGGAAUUCCUGGUGUAGCGGUGGAAUGCGCAGAUAUCAGGAGGAACACCGAUGGCGAAGGCAGAUCUCUGGGCCGUAACUGACGCUGAGGAGCGAAAGCAUGGGGGAGCGAACAGGAUUAGAUACCCUGGUAGUCCAUGCCGUAAACGUUGGGAACUAGAUGUAGGGCCUGUUCCACGGGUUCUGUGUCGUAGCUAACGCAUUAAGUUCCCCGCCUGGGGAG